CUAAGAAUAUUCCGCAAUGGACGGAAGUCUGACGGAGCGACGCCGCGUGGAUGACGAAGGCCGAAAGGUUGUAAAGUUCUUUUGCUGGGGAAGAAUAACCGCAGGAGGGAAUGCCUGUGGGAUGACAAGAACCGGCGAAUAAGCCCCGGCCAACUACGUGCCAGCAGCCGCGGUAACACGUAGGGGGCGAGCGUUGUUCGGAAUUACUGGGCGUAAAGGGCAUGUAGGCGGCUUGGAAAGCCUGGCGUGAAAGUCUGCAGCUUAACUGCAGGGGUGCGCUGGGAACUGCUGAGCUUGAGUGACGGAGAGGGAGCUGGAAUUCCUGGUGUAGGGGUGAAAUCUGUAGAUAUCAGGAAGAACACCGGUGGCGAAGGCAAGCUCCUGGCCGAUGACUGACGCUGAGGUGCGAAAGUGUGGGGAUCAAACAGGAUUAGAUACCCUGGUAGUCCACACAGUCAACGAUGUGCACUAGGUGCUGGGGCGGUAGCUUCGGUGCCGGAGCGAACGUGGUAAGUGCACCGCCUGGGGAGUAUGCUCGCAAGCGUGAAACUC
rnacentral:rRNA from 1 species